UUUGCUGUGGGUGGGGAUCUUUGCAGAAGCUACCUCAUCGUGAAUUCCUGAAGAAAGGAAAAUUGUUUCUUUCUGUUGCAAGAAUUAAAUUGCUGGGGACACCUUUUCUUUCCUCUUAUUUUUUUGCUGCUGAGGUGUUUGCUGCAACUGCAACCACUGAAUAGAUCUUCCCGCUCUGUCCUUCAGAGCAGGCAACUUCUGUUUGGUCAGUGUUUACAAAUGACUGAAUGAGAGUUUACAAAUAGUUUUGAAAAUGAUGCCUUGUAACAAACAAAAUAAAAACCAGGUUGUUGCGUCUCCAGCAUUAGUUGAUUAUUAAUAAGGUUAGGGGACAAAUAUGUAAGAGAAAUGUUGAUAUCUAGCAAUUUAUUUUCUUCCUACCUAUCAUUUCCACAGAUGAUUUACUUUAAUUCCUGAGGUUAUGAAAUUAGGGUUUAAUACACUUACCUGUGGAGAAAUAGCUAAAACAUGAAAACAACAAACCAAACCACAUCAGAAGAGAAAAACAGAUUUCUGGUGCUUGGAUGAGGAUUAAUUGUCCUGGGAAGGCAGCUUGCAUCCCAAGCAAUUCUUCAUGCCACUCAACAGGCAUUGCUGACAGGAACAAGGGGAACAAGAAGCUCCAGUCCCAGGAUGUGCUGCCUUGGGUGAGCUCUGGGUCUACACCAGCAACCUCUGCUUCUGAGCUGUGAAGAUUCUUGACCAGAGAAUAGUAGACCUUGAAGAAAUAAUAGCUUGGGUUAAUGCUACUUUGAGGAUGUCUGCACUUUUUCCUCAUUAUAUACUGUGGAGCACCAGAUGGCUGGAGCUGUUCCACAUCAUCCGUGGUCCAAGUCUUCUCUCUUGUAGGAGACAAAUGAGCUGAGGUGGUACCAAUCAAAGCUGCUUCACAGAAUAUCUUCCCCUGCAUUAUGGUCUUCACCAUUUGGUUAUUGCCUGGCAAUUCUGCCAAAGAAAUGCACGUGACUGUAGAGUAGGCAUGAACUGCAGUCUGCCUAAAGCCCUUUUGUGCCAUCCUCCUUCUUUACAAGGCUUCAAUCUCAAAUUAUCCUCCCAAAUAGAAGCCUGUCUGUUUCCUAUGCUCAGUUCAUUGUUCAGGGUUAACUUUUAGAAGCAAAUGCCAUGAUUUGUGACAGCACAGGUGAAAGGGAUGUCUGUAUUGAUUGAAAGUCCAUCUAAAGAAACACCAUAAACAAUGAUGAGCAUUUAAUCGAUUCUGUAGAUCCAAAGAAUUAAUUCUGCUUACCAAAGAAAGUGGGAAAAGCCUCUUACCACAGCUUUUCCUUAUUCCAAAAUGAAAUUACUCUGGUGAUUAAGAGAAGCUGCUAUUAAAUUACCUGCAGCUGACAGAAUUAAAGUGAAGACAGGAGUUGGUGAAGAAAGAUUGAGUUCAGAGCACAGUUUAUGCAGGUUGAUUGCAUAUGACAGAUUAAUACCCUAGUGUAAUACAGAGCAGCUUUGUACUUACUAAGAAUUAAAGUGAUUCUCACUUUCAACUUGCCAUCUGUAUGUGUGCAUAUGCACAGAACCCUAAGCAGACAUUCUAGACUAGUGUAGCCUACAAAAAAAAGCAUGUAGAAAUGCUAAAAGUCCAGCAAAGUCAGGCUCUAUGUGCCUGAAGCAUGUGAAAACCUUAAAGCAAAGGCUUUCUUCAACCCACCAGCUUUGAUAUUCCAGAGGAAUUGGAAAGAGGAAUGUGAUGGCCCAAUGUGGGAGAGCUUUCUCAGACAUUUUAAUGAAUACAUGGUUACCUCAGAGGAUAAUUUUUUAUUUCAUAAACCAAACAGUACUCACUCUGACCUCCAAUGGGCUGAGGUUUAGAGAAAUAAAUAGCUUCUAGACCAAAACUGUAAAUGUUACUGCAGGAAUCACUUAGUCUAUAAUACAGAUGACAAAUUUGGAAUUAAUCAUCAUUCAAAAUUCAAAGAAAAUUAAAAAUCCGGUCCAGAGAUCAGGAAUACUGCUGCUGUUAAGUUAAAAAAAAAAAAAAAAAAAAAAAAACCAAAAAA